rnacentral:rRNA from 1 species
CGAGUGCGGGUCCGCGUGGCCCAACCUCCCACCCGUGCCUAUUGUACCCUGUUGCUUCGGCGGGCCCGCCAGCCUUCGGGCUGGCCGCCGGGGGGCGUCUCGCCCCCGGGCCCGUGCCCGCCGGAGACCCCAACAUGAACCCUGUUCUGAAAGCUUGGUGUCUGAGUGUGAUUGUUUGCAAUCAGUUAAAACUUUCAACAAUGGAUCUCUUGGUUCCGGCAUCGAUGAAGAACGCAGCGAAAUGCGAUAACUAAUGUGAAUUGCAGAAUUCAGUGAAUCAUCGAGUCUUUGAACGCACAUUGCGCCCCCUGGUAUUCCGGGGGGCAUGCCUGUCCGAGCGUCAUUGCUGCCCUCAAGCCCGGCUUGUGUGUUGGGCCCUCGUCCCCCGGCUCCCGGGGGACGGGCCCGAAAGGCAGCGGCGGCACCGCGUCCGGUCCUCGAGCGUAUGGGGCUUUGUCUUCCGCUCUGCAGGCCCGGCCGGCGCCCGCCGACGCAUAACAACUUUUUUUCCAGGUUGACCUCGGAUCAGGUAGGGAUACCCGCUGAACUUAAGCAUAUCAAUAAGCGGAGGAAAAGAAACCAACCGGGAUUGCCUCAGUAACGGCGAGUGAAGCGGCAAGAGCUCAAAUUUGAAAGCUGGCUCCUUCGGGGUCCGCAUUGUAAUUUGCAGAGGAUGCUUCGGGUGCAGCCCCCGUCUAAGUGCCCUGGAACGGGCCGUCAUAGAGGGUGAGAAUCCCGUAUGGGGCGGGGUGUCUGCGUCCGU